CCCGGGACACAGAGGUACAAACAAUAGACCAUCAACUCUGAAAACCAAAAGUAAGUAAAAUAGAAACAUGGAUUACGAAAAAUAUGCAGGGGUGACAUCAGAGAGUGAAAAGAACUUGCUUCUUGUAAGACACUUUCAGUGAAAACAAUUUGAUAUGAAGACAAUCAUAUGAAGACAAUCUUUUGUUUUAGUUUUUUUUUU
rnacentral:lncRNA from 1 species